GUGGGGGAUAUUGCACAAUGGGGGAAACCCUGAUGCAGCGACGCCGCGUGAAGGAAGACGUACUUCGGUAUGUAAACUUCUAUCAGCAGGGAAGAAGAUGACGGUACCUGACUAAGAAGCCCCGGCUAACUACGUGCCAGCAGCCGCGGUAAUACGUAGGGGGCAAGCGUUAUCCGGAUUUACUGGGUGUAAAGGGAGCGUAGACGGUGAAGCAAGUCUGAUGUGAAAACCCGGGGCUCAACUCCGGGAUUGCAUUGGAAACUGUUUUACUUGAGUGCUGGAGGGGCAAGCGGAAUUCCUGGUGUAGCGGUGAAAUGCGUAGAUAUUAGGAGGAACACCAGUGGCGAAGGCGGCUUGCUGGACAUUAACUGACGCUGAGGCGCGAAAGCGUGGGGAGCAAACAGGAUUAGAAACCCCUGUAGUCC
rnacentral:rRNA from 1 species